GAUGAACGCUGGCGGCGUGCCUAAUACAUGCAAGUCGAGCGAACGGACGAGAAGCUUGCUUCUUUGAUGUUAGCGGCGGACGGGUGAGUAACACGUGGAUAACCUACCCAUAAGACUGGGAUCACUUCGGGAAACCGUAGCUAAUACCGGAUAAUAUUUUGAACCGCAUGGUUCAAAAGUGAAAGACGGUCUUGCUGUCACUUAUAGAUGGAUCCGCGCUGCAUUAGCUAGUUGGUAAGGUAACGGCUUACCAAGGCAACGAUGCAUAGCCGACCUGAGAGGGUGAUCGGCCACACUGGAACUGAGACACGGUCCAGACUCCUACGGGAGGCAGCAGUAGGGAAUCUUCCGCAAUGGGCGAAAGCCUGACGGAGCAACGCCGCGUGAGUGAUGAAGGUCUUCGGAUCGUAAAACUCUGUUAUUAGGGAAGAACAUAUGUGUAAGUAACUGUGCACAUCUUGACGGUACCUAAUCAGAAAGCCACGGCUAACUACGUG
rnacentral:rRNA from 1 species